UCAUCUUGUUUGUUGGCUCCUCAUUCGGUGUCUGGCAAGAUGGUAGCUGAGUCAAUGGUGGCCCUUUUUGUUCUGGCUGUUUGCCUUGGAAAAGCUUUAAGCUUACCAAUUGAAAGACAAAACCAGAAAGCAGAUUAUGAACUGCUGGGAAGAGACUGAUGGGGAGUUGAGGAACAGCCUUGGGCUUCUACAGUCAGUAGAUUCCAGGUUGAAAGCUCUUGUUAAAGAAGUGCAACUGGAAACCAGUGAGGUGGAAACAAUAUUUAUCCUUGGAGCCAGCAACCAGACUGUGUCCGACGCCGCCAGCAACCAGACUGUGUCCGACGCCGCCAGCAACCAGACUGUGUCCG